AAACAUAAAUGUGAGAAGACACAAAAUUAACAUUUAUUUCAGUAUGCAAACAUACACAGUUUAAUAAAAAAUAAAUAUAUGCAUAAAUAAGCGGGUGUUUUCAGUUCUUUCUCAACAAAAACUGAGCAGGAAUCUCCUGCAGAGGAUUGAUUUAAAGUAGAGUGAAGAAAGUGUUGAGAGCAUCCAAAAAUUAAGAAAUACUUCACAAGUGAUAAACGCUGAAUGGUAGCCAAUCACUGUAAUGCAUUUGUUUGUUUUGAUUUAUUAGAGGCAGGACUAUUAGCUUUGUUUUUUUUUUUUUUUUUUUUUUUAGAUUCUUCCAAGCCAGCAAUUAUGUUGUGUUGGUGUUGCAAUGAAGUGUUUUAAGAAGAGGGACAUUCUCUUUCUGUGUGGCCCAGACCUGUUCUUCUUCCUGCUGGAGUGACUCAAAUAGACUUGUUGCUUGUGCUUCACACAUCGAUUUCUCCAUCUGCCGACUGCUGAAGACCAUCUUACCAAGUCUUUGCUGCCUUUCAUGUUCCUUAAUCCUGGGCUAUGUUAGCAUAAUGCUACUGCACUGUUUAGUCUUCAUAGCUGCUCUGGAGGUCUUUGUGAAAAGAUAUAUUCCCUCAGUUCCACCAUAUUUUUGGUGUAAUUAUUUAUUUAUUUUUCAACUGCUGUUUUAUAUAACACUGAAUGUGUAAGUUUAACAAAAUAAACCAAUAAUAAUAAUAAAUAGAGUUUAUAUACUACCUGUUUAUUUACUGUAUUCGGAUACAUGUAGAACUGAAACUGGUGCUUAGGAAAUGUAUUUUGCUACAAUGAAAUAAAAAGAUUCUUUGUGUUAUCUUAUAUAUUCAAAUGUAUAUCAAGGAGCAAGAUAAUAAAUGUAUUUUUACAAUGUUUUUGACAAUGGAGAGAAAUCAAAAACAUAAGCUAAUUUAUGUUUAAAUCAGUUUUAUGUUUAAAAAUGAAUGAAAUAUAAACGAACAUUGACAAGUUGGCGGUCAUCAAGAUUUUCUUUUUUUUUUUAAGAAAUUAAUACUUGUAUUCAGCAAGGAUGCACUAAAUUCAAGUGACAGUAAAUAAUUUUUUACUUUUAUAAUAAAGUUUACUUGAGCACCAAAUCAGCGCCCAAAUUAUUUCUGAAGGAUCAUGUGAAGGGUCUUGUGUGAAGACUGGAGUAAGGGCUGCUGAAAAAUCAGCUUUGCCAUCAUAGUAAUAGAAGUUAUAUUAUAAAAUAUAAAACAGAGACAUUUAUUUUAAAUUACAAUAACAUUUCACAAUAUGACUGUUUUUAUUGUAUUUUUAAUCAAAUAAAUACAACACUGGUGAGAAUAAGUGACAUCUUCAGAAGCAUUAGAAAAUCAGUCUUAAACUUUUGAAAGGUAGUAUAAAUAUUUUAUUUCAUUUUUCAUUUAUUUAUUUGGCAUGUGGGGGAAGACAUGGAAUGUAGUGCCUGAGUACUAUGGAUGCUUUGGUGUUUACCUUUAAAUGGAAUUCCAUUUAAAAGUCAGAAUGAAACUACGAACGCUCUCUUGUCACACUUGAUUGACAAGGCCUACCCAGAUGAGUGUGUCAGCGCAUCCAAGAGGUCAGUGUUUAAUUGCAUUAUUUUAAAGCUUCCGCCACCCACUACUACUAAAGAGACACAAUGAGCACCCUGUCAUGUCUGCUACUCCAACACACACUCAUUUAAAUUGCAUUAGUGUUCAUCGAAAAUAAGCACCCUAUCUAUUGACUAAUGUCCAUUGUCUCUUGACUUGGUUCAGACUCACAUGAUGCUUCUCAGUGGUUGAGUGAGCAGGAACAGUCUUUUCUCCCAGAAAAGCUUUUUAAUUACGCCAAGCCGUGUUGGCAUCCAUGCAUCCUGAACUACCCAUCCCAAUGUCUUCGUCCUUCAGAAUGUCCCAAUAAUGACCCGUGUGGUAUGUCUUUCUUCCUUUCUUUCUCAUUUUAGCUCCACGGUGGCUUUUUGUUUUGUCCUUUCGAAUAGCCUGUGCCAAGCUUUUGCUCAUUAGAGAGUUUGGUGGAGUGUGGCAGGGUCCAUUCAAGCCCUCCAGCUGCAGAGUCUUUCACCUAUUCCCUGAAAGAAUUUAAGGUUGCUCUGCUGGUCGGUCUGUUUAUCUGGCAGACACUGGAGGGACAAACAGAGACCUCUUCCCAUUCCCCCCACGCCUCCAGUCCCAGUUGCACCUGUUCGCUGUGCUAGAGUCCAAGCAAAAAGCCAACUCAUUAGAGCCGGAGGCCAUUGUGGGGCAUCUUUUAGGAGGAGGUGAAGUGGAAAGGUCCAGACCGCUGUGGGCAGCAGGAACCUGAACCUCCAUUCUGCGUUUGCACAGAGGAACAGGCAUGACCCAGAGCCAGAACAGUUAUUAACCACUGCCGCAACCUGUGCUAAUUGCUGUGUUAUUUACUGCACCGUUGCUCCUGCACUUUUGCACAAUGAUCUUUUAUGCGGUGAAAUUGUGGCUUUGUGAGUGAUUGACUGAAGCAGCUGUGAAUGGAGGCCAGAUUUGUUUCCAUUUUGACUGUUGCAGGGCUAUUUUGAACAUGUGCGUGGUUUACUAAAGAUCCAGUGGGAUUCAAUUGUGUAUAUUAAUUGUCAUUGUAUAGAUGACCCGGGGAAUGUUGGAACAAACUGGAUUAAGCCUCGCUGCUUUUGCUAUGCUGUAGCUAAACAGGUCACGCUUCAUGUGUGGCAUCGUGGCUACGCUGUGUGUCAUUCUGGUUCGCUUUUUCCCAUUCCCUGACCCCCUGAACUCCCUUCAGGGACAGAGCCCCGAGCAAACUUACCCUCUUUGGUCGGCAAUGGCCAGGUGGCUCCUGACAAGCGCUGACAAAAACAGGAAGCAUACCUCUGGACACGGCGAGCCCCAGUGGGGCUGUCUGAUUGGCCGCUGACUCAGCUACUGCUGCCCAGGAAGUCCUGACCCAGGAAGUGUCCAGGGACUUGGGCAAGAUGGCUGAAUAAAUAAUGUGUGUGGAAGCAAUGUUAGAAAGAAUGAAUCAACAGGUCUAGUCGAUACUCCGAAUGGUGGGAGAUAUUCUGUAUCUGGUCUUAGUUUAUAACAGGAACCAUACCUAACCAUAUCUGCCAUAGACGCUACUGGUUUUAUCAUGAUGUUACAUAAAAAAAACAUUAUGAAAUAUAGUAUAUAUAUAUAUAUAUAUAUUUAAAUAAAUUAUUAUUAUUUUCCAGCAACCGUGCAUUAAAUAAGUCAUUUAUAAUAUGACAAAAGAGUUUGUGUUUCAAAUAGAAAUGCUGUUCUUUUGAACUUUUCAUUCAUCAAGGAACCCUGGAAAUAAUGUAUCAUGGAUUAAUAAUAAGAAAUGUUUCUUGGUCAGCAAAGUUGCAUAUUAGAAUGAUUUGUGAUCUAUAAGGUAUAGCUAUACAGUAUUUACAGUAUUUAUAUAAUAUAUACACACAAACACAUGCACAGUACAGCAGCAUAUUAUAACUGACUAUUGUUUUUCAGUAGGCUAUAUCAAUCUGUUUUUCACAAAUUAAAAUGUGCCAAGUCUUAUACACACACACACGCACACACACAGUAUACAGCAGUAUAUUUAAACUGACUACUGACUUCUGUUUCUCACUAAUUAAUAUGUGCCACAUCUGUUCACACGGAAAAGAAAUGUUUCUCUUUAAAUGCUGCACUUGAUGCCAUUAAAAAAAGUUUUAUGUCUGUAUGUAGUUUUUUUUUUUUUUUUUUUAUGGUGAUUUGAAUGUGUUGCUAGAGCCUCUUAGAAAGAGAACCACUGCCUCCUGUGGAGUUAGUGUGUGUGUUUUCCUUUUCUUUCUGCCUGUUUGUGUGUAUGUUGCGUUCAGAACUGUGGAUUUGUUUCUAAGUUUGGCAGAUGAGAUGGCUACAGAGGGAAAGCACUUGUGGUGUGAGGUGGUGAAGGCCGAGGGUUGAGCGCUGAUGACCCACUCUUCUCUGAGGGUGGGAAAGCACAGUUCAGAAGGGCAAAGAUUUUCCCUGUGAAAACAUUAUCAGCCAUCUCGCCUGUUCCGUUGACUCGCGGGGAGCAGCAGUGGUCAAAGGUGUGGUUAACGGCUUAGCUCGUCAUCCCAAGCGCUUGGUCACACACUCCUCAAUGUGGCAUUGCCUGAAGGGCACUGAUAACACGCAUUCUGCACUUCUAUUGGUUGAUGUCCAGAAAACCAGCAAUCUCACACGGAAGAAUCUGUACAUUAGAGGAAAGGAAACGGGAGUUUAUUGAUCAACCAAAAAUGAAAACAAACUUUGACGGCAGAAGUAAAUUCAUGUCAGCGGUCAGUGAAGGGUUCCUCUGUGUCUCUUACAGACUGUAGCUCGCAGUAGACAUGGCUUCACAGCACAGAUGAGAUGAGGUGGGAUGUGGAGCUGGAUCUAGCACAGGAUCUAGUGAACCUCACGUUGGGUAUCCUGCACAGUAACAGUCUAUGUGUGGAGUGACAGAGAUUAUCAUUUAAAGCUUUCUGUAAUCAAUUUCUUUUUAUAGAAUUUAGAAUCCUGAGAUGCAAGCUCAUCACAGCCUUCUUUAACUUGAGUGUGUCAUCCACUUCUAGGUAUUUCUGCUGUACUAAAACAUUCUGUAAUCAUGCACACACUGAUUUGUAUUGUAUUGUAUUUAUUGUAUAUUGCAUUUUAUUUUUCUAGAUUUCAAUCAACCAAGGGCUCUGUAACAGUUAGUUUAAAACUGAAUGUGUGGAAUUGUGUUUUAAGAUCAAGACAGAUUUUUUCAAAUUUUCAAAUUUGAAAUUUGUAUUAAAUUUUUUUUUCUCAUUUUAAUGAUCAAUUCAAUUACCAUUUUAAAAACCUUCACAGUUGUUGCUCUCAGAACGAAAAACUACAAUAGUGCACAAAGCAUAUCUCUUACACCCUCCCUGCCCUGUAACCAUGGCAAUGAUCACAGUUUGCCUUAUUCAAGUCUGUCAUUGCAAUUUGACAAGUACAUGUCAUUGUUCCUUGCCGUAUUCUUGUGAAUUUCAAACCCUCUGAUUUCAUUUUCUUCCAAACUGUUCAUGAGCAGCGGAGAUAUACUAGUCAAUAAAUCUUUGCUGUUAAUUUUGA